rnacentral:rRNA from 1 species
AACGCUACGACAGGCUACACAUCGCAAGUCUAGGGGCAGCAUAGUAAAGCUUGCUUUUAUUGAUGGCGACCGGCGCACGGGUGAGUAACGCGUAUGCAACCUGCCUUACACAGGCGGGAUAGCCCGGAGAAAUCCGGAUUAAUACCGCAUAAUGAUCAAAUUUCGCAUGUUAUUUGAUUUAAAGCUUCGGCGGUGUAAGAUGGGCAUGCGUAGCAUUAGCUUGUUGGUGAGGUAACGGCUCACCAAGGCGAUGAUGCUUAGGGGGUCUGAGAGGAUAGUCCCCCACACUGGUACUGAGACACGGACCAGACUCCUACGGGAGGCAGCAGUGAGGAAUAUUGGUCAAUGGGCGCAAGCCUGAACCAGCCAUGUCGCGUGCAGGAUGACUGCCCUAUGGGUUGUAAACUGCUUUUUUACGGGAAUAAACCUUCCUACGUGUAGGGAGCUGAAGGUACCGUAUGAAUAAGGAUCGGCUAACUCCGUGCCAGCAGCCGCGGUAAUACGGAGGAUUCGAGCGUUAUCCGGAUUCAUUGGGUUUAAAGGGUCCGUAGGCGGGCGAUUAAGUCAGUGGUUGAAACUCUACACAGACUCAACUUGUGAAAAACUGGCCAUUGAAUACUGGGUUGUCUUGCAAUUUCACUUGACGUGGGGCGGAAAUACG